UUGCAGAUGAAUAACAAGCUUUGGUUCUGUAGUGGGUGAUCAUGUAGCUGACCUGGUGUGGGAGACAUGGUCCUUGGUGGUGUCACAGAGAUGCUGCUUCCUGCAGCUGUACCAACCCACUGCUCUUCUGAGCAUGCCACAGCAGAUUCACUGUCAGGUAUGUCUCGUGUGCCAGAUAAUCAGCACAGCAGUACUUGAAGACAGGUACAAUUAGCACACUACCAAACUGCCCUUCUAAUGCAGUCUUCCAAAAAACAUAGAGCAUAACACAACAGAUCUUUCCAGAACAAGAAAGUUAUUCAGUCACCACCAUAUAAGAAGGUAAUAAACUAUUAGAGAGUGUCCAAAGAGGGCAACAAAGAUGGUGAAGGACUUUGAGGAGAAGCCAUAUGAGGAGUGGCUGAGGUUACUUGGCCUAUUCAGCCUGGAGGACACUGAGGGGAGACCUCACUGCGGUUACAACUUCCUCAUGAGGGGAAAGAGGAGGGGCAGGCACUGAUCUCCUCUGUGGUGACCAGUGACAGGAUCUGAGGGAGUGGUCUGAAGUUGUGCUGGGGGAAGUUCAAGUUCAAUAUUAGGAAAAGGUUUUUCCCCCCCAGAGGGUGGCUGUGCUCUGGAACAGGCUCCCCAGGGCAGUGGUCACAGCACCAGCCUGACAGAGUUCAAGAAGUGUUUGGCCGAUGCUCUCGGGCACAUGGGGUGACUUGCAGGGAUGGUGCUGUGCAGGAGCAGGCGUUGGACUUGACGAUCCUUCUGGGUCUCUUCCAAUUCAGCACAUUCUGUGAUUCUGUAAUACUGUGCAAUGCACAGGGGAAAUUUCACUCUAAAUACUCUGAAUUUCAGGACUGAGCUCUCCAGUUCAAGAAAGAUGAAAUCAAAUGUUAAUGAAGAAAAUUAUUAUGAAGGUCUUUGUAAAAAGGAGAGCCUGUAUCUAAGAACUGGCAAAAAGAUAAAUAGAUAAUAGAUACAGAGAUUUAACCUAGGAGAGAGGAAAAAUUAUGAAAUAUUAAAAAAAUAAUAUUGUCCUGUAAGGGGAAAAGAAAUGAACUGGCCAAAUUUAAACAUGAACAAGAUAUUAGAAGAUGGUUCCUCAUUUUUACAAUGGUGAGAUCCUUUCCAGCUAGAACAAAAAAUUUAACUGCUUUUAUGAUGAGAUUUAAACAUGUUCAUGAAAGUCAUGAUACCACAUCAUACCAGUGUAAUCUGAACUGUCAGACUCAAGCUGAUCUUUUCAGUCCUGUGCUCAUAUGUACCUAUACAGACCCAGACAAACUUCCCUAUCAAAAGCAAUAUAUGAAGUUCAGUAUCUGGUGGAAUACCACAUACUGCACUUCAAAACCAUAUGGGAUUCUUGGACAGGCUUCAGGUUAAUAAAAAAUGUUUUUUUCUAAA